AUGCCUUGGUUUAGGAGAUAUUUUUUAGUUAAUAAGGAACUCAUUCGUGGACUGAUUCCGACCCUUUACCAGAAUAAAACAGAGGAGCGGUAUGGUUUCAUAAGAGGAAUGCUCGCUUGUCCGCCUACCAAUGAUGCCUUUAACUUUCAGAUUCUACAUAUGGAGUGGAGAAUGCCUCUACUACCUGUGCCAGCAAACAAACAAAGACUAUAG